ensembl:lncRNA
CUGAGUUACUCAUGACUGAUUGGUAUAUCAGCUGCAGCUAAACCAAGAUACAAUUAUAACUGGAUUCAGAAGUGAAGAGAGGUACCUUUCUCUGCAUGAAAGAUGUGGACUUUGCAGACAGCACUGUUAAUGUUUCUCAUGGUGCUCGUUUUCUCCAAGCCAUUUCAUUCAUGGAAUAAGAGUAAACAUUCAGACAUUAUCCGGCACUUCCAGAAGUCUGAUUCCUCAGAUUCCUCCUUGGAUGAAUCAAGCAAUGCUUCAGACAUGGAUGGCUCACAGUCAUCUGAGGAAAGUGAGUCUUCUGAAUCUCAGGGAGAUGAACAGACUGAGGCAAGUGGGUCUGUAUCUAGUGAGUCUAGAUCUAGCGAAUCGGUUUACUCUAAGGAUGUCUUAACCUCCACUCCUCUAGCCAGUAGCACUACAAGGCAUUCAGUCACCACAUCUGAGGAUAUCACAUGCUUCACUGAGUUUAGAGGUGAUAACUAAAGUGUUUAUACUUAUGUCAUGCCAUUCUUGGUCUAAGAUGUUCUUGCAAAUGUUUAGUUUUGCUUCAGAAUGCACUGAGCUCAUUAGAUUUUCAAUGUUAAAGAAAUUCAUAUAAAUGUUUACCCAUAUUCAUGUAAUUUUGAUUUUAUUUAAAUUUUCUUUGCUGAGCAUGUUUUGUCUCUUGCACACCUAUUGUUAGCCUAUUGAGUUGUAGAGUUUUACAGUACAGUCAUGUACUGUAUGGGAGUAUAUGUAUGUUACUAUGUAUCUUAUGUAUAAUUAGCAGCACAGUGGUAUCUGACUCAGAGAUUCUGUGCACAUUUGAUCUGUCACAAUAAAUUCCAAUAAAAGUCUCACAAUUUUC